rnacentral:lncRNA from 1 species
GUUUACUGGAGGCUUAGCCAAAGCUUUUCCCUUCUCAGUUUUCAGUGCCCCAGAUUCCCAAGACAGAUGAGCAGGAGGAAGGAAUCCAAACUUCUAGAAACAGCUCAUCUUCCCUUGUGCUUGCCGCACUGGGUGCUUGGUGUGGGCUGGUGGCGUGUGUGUGUGUGUGUGUGUGUGUGUGUGUGUGUGUGUGUGCGCGCGCAGGAAUAUGCAGACCUCAGGGUUUCUAAGUGCCCGGCCACGGUCUGGUCUUGAUUAGGCAGGCGGAGGGAAGUGGGUCCACAGCAGCGAUCAGAGCUGCUGCAUCCAGCUGUGAGGCUGCAGAGCCAGAAACGCGUGCGACCUGAAAGGGAACACAUUUCUAGAGGGCCUCGGGCCAAGGUGGAGGUGAUGAGGGCAGGAUGCGGAGGCCAGCGGAGGACAAGUGCUGACUGGCAUGGGGAUGCUAUGGGUGGGGGGACGGUCAGGAAUUAGCAGCUGAUUUCAAGCGUUGGGAGGAGGUGCGGAGACAAGGAGGCAGCGGCUGGGGUGAUUCCAGAGUAAUUAGGGUGGAAAAUUCUGGAGCAUCCUCGCUGCUUCCCUCAGGACAGAGGCUGCGUGUUUCUCAGCUCUGUCCUGGCAGCGGCUGGCGGAGCAUGUGUGGGCUUCAUUGAAUACGCUGCCCGAGUGUCUUGCAGCUUUUCCCAGGCGUCUUCUGUGUCUCCUGGUCCCCACGGCUGCAACUUCGACAACUGAGUUCUCUUGCUCUGGCUGCAUUUCAGGACAAGAGCAUGCCUGCUUGAGGUGCCUAGAAUCCUGGCUGGACCCAAAACACUGCAGACUACUUGGUUUCUGUCCAAGGACAGCCCCAAUGGCCUGGACAGGGCUUAGCACAAUUCCUAAUGUACAUCAGACCCUAAAGGAAGUGUGUGCUGUGAGGACAGCCUGAUGAAAUCCUGGCACAGGAAGGAGAGGCAGUACAGGACUGUGGUUUCUGAGCCAAACUGGUGACACAAGACUCGAGCCCUGGUC